AUUGAACGCUGGCGGCAGGCCUAACACAUGCAAGUCGAGCGAGCGGCGGACGGGUGAGUAAUGUAUGAGGAUCUGCUCGAUAGAGGGGGAUACCUACUGGAAACUGUGGCUAAUAACGCAUACUAUCGGAUGAACCGUUACGGGAUUAGCUAGUAGGUGGGGGAAAGGCUCACAUAGGCGACGAUGUCUAGCUGGUCUGAGAGGAUGAUCAGCCACACUGGGACUGAGACACGGCCCAGACUCCUACGGGAGGCAGCAGUGGGGAAUAUUGCACAAUGGGCGCAAGCCUGAUGCAGCCAUGCCGCGUGUAUGAAGAAGGCCUUAGGAUUGUAAAGUACUUUCAGCGGGGAGGCGUUACCCACAGAAGAAGCACCGGCUAACUCCGUGCCAGCAGCCGCGGUAAUAC
rnacentral:rRNA from 1 species